rnacentral:misc_RNA from 2 species
AGCAGCCGCGGUAAUUCCAGCUCCAAUAGCGUAUAUUAAAGUUGUUGCAGUUAAAAAGCUCGUAGUUGAAUUUCGGGAUUGACGUGAUGGUCGUGCCUUACGGGGUAUGAACUGUUGCAGUCAAUUUCUCACCUUCUGGAGAAAUAUGAUGUCCUUAAUUGGGUGUCAUAUGGAACCAGAACUUUUACCUUGAAAAAAUUAGAGUGUUUAAAGCAGGCUUAUUGCUCGAAUACAUUAGCAUGGAAUAAUAAAAUAGGACGGCAUGGUUCUAUUUUGUUGGUUUCUAGGAUCACCGUAAUGAUUAAUAGGGAUAGUUGGGGGCAUUAGUAUUCAAUUGUCAGAGGUGAAAUUCUUGGAUUUAUUGAAGACUAACUACUGCGAAAGCAUUUGCCAAGGAUGUUUUCAUUAAUCAAGAACGAAAGUUAGGGGAUCGAAGACGAUCAGAUACCGUCGUAGUCUUAACCAUAAACUAUGCCGACUAGGAAUCAGACGAUGUAAUUUUUUAAUGACUCGUUUGGCA